rnacentral:lncRNA from 1 species
GUGAGCACAUGUCCCGAAGGCAGGGGGGCAGAAGCAAAUCCAGCAGCCCUACAACUUCUUCCACUGUAGCCUGAGUCAGAAUUUUGAAUAGCAGAAAAAGAUUGAGUUGUGUGUCAAGAGGCUUUAGUCUCAGCUUUUAUGAAGCAGGAAAACUCCUUUGUCAGUUCCCUAGGUUCAUGGUAGUUAUUGAUGAGUCUCAGAGGUCAAGAUCUGACUCAUGACCAUCUGAACAAAAACAACACACAAGCCUAACAGUUUUGCCAUCAGCAGAACCCUAUGUUCCCACAAAUAUGUGGGAUCAAUUUUUCUUAUUUGAGGUCUCAGUCUGAAUAAGAUCAGCUGAAAACUCCAGCCUAUGCAUUACUCUGAUUUUCCAGUCUGAAGUCACUGUUGAGUAAGUCCUUUGGGUUGCCACCUUUAUUCCAGCUCUCCUGAUACUCUCCAAUGGAGCCUCCAACAGUUAUCUUUGAGCAAAUCACUUCUCUUCUUCAUGCCUUUCUUCUUCUCCUGUUUCUUUGCUUUUUGACUUUGGGAGAGACUGGAGUCUCUGUUAGUUUUUCAGCAUGACAUACAAGAGAAUCAGAGAUGUUACUAAGUGCUAAUAAGUGAAUCAAACUCACCCACUCCUGCCUGCUUUGCUGCUCACUCUUUACCUGUAUACAUCUGUUUGCAGAGGCCAGAUUGCUCUCAGACACUGACCUGUUAAUGAAAAGCUAUCAACUCUGGCAAAGAAGAAGGCAGUAUUAGCCACUGCUGCCCUGUGACUACCAGAAGCAGUAUGGUGACAGGAAUGGGUCAUACUUCAGCCUACACACUGGACUGCAGUUUUGCCAUGCUCUGAACAUUUUUUAUACUGCACUCCAGAUGUUGCUGCCUUUCAUUGGCAGACCUACCCCUCCACACGACAUAUCCCUCACUCUGCUAAAACAGCCCAGCCAGGUUGCAAAGCAUUCACCCUUUACCAGCCUCGAUGGGUGGACACGCAACACAGCAGCAAAAGUUGGACAGCUGCUAGGAUUCAGUACAGGUGUCUUAUUUUCCUGUUUUCUCAGAAGGUAUGGUCUGUCUGCAUCUGAGGGAGUGUCACCCUCUCAGCUCUCAGCUGCAAUGGACCUGCUUUUGACCUGGUCAAUACUGUUAUUCAUUUAGGCAUCUUUGAGUCAUCAGUGGAUUUUCAUUUGGGAAUCCUUUCUGUGUACAGAAAAAAAAUCACUUCCCUGGAGACAGCUGUAUUUUCCUGUUUCAGUGUGUACCCUUCUAGAUAUUUUCAUACUUUGGACUAGGCCAGUCUAGUAUUUAAGGGAUGAAAUAUUGGGUGGACCAUGUUCUGUACCCAAAUUUCUCAUAAUGUACUGUUUUGUGCUAUUAUGCAGUGGUUUAGCAUUUAACCUAGGGAAAGGGCUGGAUCUGAAGAGAUAUUCAGCAAUAACCGUAGGACUCAUAUUUUGCCUUCUGGGUCUAUGUCUCUCCAUUCAUACAAUAAGCAUAAGGAUUUUUUUUAUUGAGGUCUGUUUUGCAAAAUGGAUCCAAAUAAAGGUUUCUAUGCUUUUAAUAAACUUCUUGGA